UGGGGAAUUUUGGACAAUGGGGGCAACCCUGAUCCAGCCAUGCCGCGUGAGUGAAGAAGGCCUUCGGGUUGUAAAGCUCUUUCGGCCGGGAAGAAAUCGCAUAGGUUAAUACCCUGUGUGGAUGACGGUACCGGAAUAAGAAGCACCGGCUAACUACGUGCCAGCAGCCGCGGUAAUACGUAGGGUGCGAGCGUUAAUCGGAAUUACUGGGCGUAAAGCGUGCGCAGGCGGUUUCGUAAGACAGAGGUGAAAUCCCCGGGCUCAACCUGGGAACUGCCUUUGUGACUGCGAAGCUAGAGUACGGCAGAGGGGGGUGGAAUUCCACGUGUAGCAGUGAAAUGCGUAGAGAUGUGGAGGAACACCGAUGGCGGAGGCAGCCCCCUGGGCCGAUACUGACGCUCAUGCACGAAAGCGUGGGUAGCAAACA
rnacentral:rRNA from 1 species